CUAACAAGGAUUCCCCUAGUAACUGCGAGUGAAGCGGGAAAAGCUCAAAUUUAAAAUCUGGCAGCCUUCGGUUGUCCGAGUUGUAGUCUGGAGAAGUGUCUUCCGCGCUGGACCGUGUACAAGUCUCUUGGAAUAGAGCGUCGUAGAGGGUGAGAAUCCCGUCUUUGACACGGACUACCAGUGCUUUGUGAUGCGCUCUCAAAGAGUCGAGUUGUUUGGGAAUGCAGCUCAAAAUGGGUGGUAAAUUCCAUCUAAAGCUAAAUAUUGGCGAGAGACCGAUAGCGAACAAGUACCGUGAGGGAAAGAUGAAAAGCACUUUGGAAAGAGAGUUAAACAGUACGUGAAAUUGCUGAAAGGGAAACGCUUGAAGUCAGUCGCGUCGUCCAGAACUCAACCUUGCUUUUGCUCGGUGCACUUUCUGGUUGACGGGCCAGCAUCAGUUUUGACCGUCGGAAAAAGGCCUUUGGAAUGUGGCACCUUCGGGUGUGUUAUAGCCUUGGGUUGUAUACGACGGUUGGGACUGAGGACCACAGCACGCCUUUCGGCCGGGGUUCGCCCACGUACGUGCUUAGGAUGCUGGCGUAAUGGCUUUAAGCGACCCGUCUUGAAACACGGACCAAGGAGUCUAACAUGCCUGCGAGUGUUUGGGUGGUAAACCCGAGCGCGUAAUGAAAGUGAAAGUUGGGAUCUCUGUCGUGGAGAGCACCGACGCCCAUACCAGACCUACUGUGACGGAUAUGCGGUUGAGCAUGUAUGUUGGGACCCGAAAGAUGGUGAACUAUGCCUGAAUAGGGUGAAGCCAGAGGAAACUCUGGUGGAGGCUCGUAGCGAUUCUGACGUGCAAAUCGAUCGUCAAAUUUGGGUAUAGGGGCGAAAGACUAAUCGAACCAUCUAGUAGCUGGUUCCUGCCGA
rnacentral:rRNA from 1 species